CUAACAGUCACUUGGCUGAAGAGAGUCAGCAGUGAACAUGCUGUGCUACUGUCCAGGGCUUGAGGAAGAAGCCUCAGGAUCCCACACAGCGAAAGCACUUGGGAACGGAUGAGAGGAUGGAUGACUAAGGCCAGACACUACAGGCCACUCACCAGGAACCACCCAGUCCUCAUGGGCAGCACAGGGCAGGUCUCACCACACCCAGAGACCUCGGGGCCUGAGAUGAGAGGGACCCCAGGGCAGGUCUCCCUCAACCUGGCCACCAGGCACUCUGAGACACUGAGUCCAGAACAAGAACAUUUAGGCCUGCCCACCACUGCUCCUUACAUUCACCUUGGACCUCACAGCAAGUAUUUUCCUCAACUGGCUUCACUAGUUGUGGAUAAGCAGCAGUGCAAGAGGAGUCCAGGAGAGGUACAGACACUGAGGAAACCUUGGCUACAUGAGCUACAGCCUGAGGAGAGAAAGAUCAGCACAGACACCUACUAUCCCUCACUUCUCAGGUAGUUAUGGAGCAGCAGCCCUAUGCCCUUGAGUACAACCACACAGCAGAGAGAAGACUCUGUCCUCAUGGAGCUGACAGUGGGAAUAGGCAUGGACUCAUGGGGUCAGUCUGCUCUGAAGAA
rnacentral:lncRNA from 1 species